rnacentral:rRNA from 1 species
CUACGGGAGGCUGCAGUGGGGAAUAUUGCACAAUGGGCGCAAGCCUGAUGCAGCCAUGCCGCGUGUGUGAAGAAGGCCUUCGGGUUGUAAAGCACUUUCAGCGGGGAGGGAGGCGGUGAGGUUAAUAACCUCAUCGAUUGACGUUACCCGCAGAAGAAGCACCGGCUAACUCCGUGCCAGCAGCCGCGGUAAUACGGAGGGUGCAAGCGUUAAUCGGAAUUACUGGGCGUAAAGCGCACGCAGGCGGUCUGUCAAGUCGGAUGUGAAAUCCCCGGGCUCAACCUGGGAACUGCAUUCGAAACUGGCAGGCUAGAGUCUUGUAGAGGGGGGUAGAAUUCCAGGUGUAGCGGUGAAAUGCGUAGAGAUCUGGAGGAAUACCGGUGGCGAAGGCGGCCCCCUGGACAAAGACUGACGCUCAGGUGCGAAAGCGUGGGGAGCAAACAGGAUUAGAUACCCGUGUAGUC